ACGAUUAGACUGUUUUGAUGAGAAAUUUAAAGAUUACGUGUCCCAUCCGUUUGACUCACAGUUUGGUACCAUAGGUUGGUACGAUCUUCGUUGGAGAAGGAAAAGGGAUGUUCCAGAUACAGAAAACCGUCAAACCAUUUACUACAAAGUCCGUUUCUGGGUGGAGUUAGUGGAACCGAAAAAGAUGUCUCCCUCACAGCGUUUUUGACACAAGAAUUGUAUCGUUCCUUGGCGGCCUUUCAACAGAAGAAUAUUCAGAGAUUUCCCGACUGGACACAAUCAUCGCCUUGGAAGCUUCAUCACGAUACUACUUUGCAUUUCUGAAGAGGGAAGAAGAAAUCAAUAUGCAAAUUCAAUUCCAUGGUUUUGGAAGUCCCUUUGAGAACACGAUUCAUUUGCGCCGGCAUAAUGCUCUGACCGAGAAAGAAUUGAAGAGCCAGGACUGAGGGAAUCCUGCAUCGUUACGGUGUCAUCGUUGAGGGAGUGCUGCACUGCUGAAGGGCCGAUAGUAAGGGAGUGUGACACUGUCAGAGUGUCAUUACCAAAGGUGGGCUACAGUAUCAAAGGUACCACGCUGAGUAUUGUUAUCCCGAUAGUUCUUUCGUCUCAGUCCGUGUGUAUUCCUGGGCGAAUGUGCUCGUGUGGUCUCAGGAGUUGCGGAGGUCACGGCUCUGGGACAGCCGUUUCAUCGCCCAAUGCUGCAGGAAAAAAGCAAUGCAAGUGCCGUUAAUUUUUUGCAUGGCGAGCUGCUGCAUACUAACCGGUCUCACACCAUUACCAACACCUUGCCCUUGUGAAGGCAGAUAUGGAUAAGGUUCUCAAAGCUGACAGAAGAUUGAAACCACUCUAAUCCUGUGACGAUGAACCUGUCCCGGAAGAGAGAGCCCAGAGAAUUGCCAAAGCUGUCCGCAAACAGUCAAUAGAAGUGAAGGAAAAUUGGGAACAACUGAAAAUCCGUGCGAGCAACUGGCAGAAACAGGUGGAAAAGGUGUUGGAGAAACUUCAAGAACUGCAGAAAGUUCUGGAUGAUCUUGAGGCUCAUGUGAUAACAGCUGAGGGGGUCCACACUGAUUGGCAACCUGUGAGUGACCUGCUUAUUGACUCAUUGCAGGAUCACUUUGAUAAAACCACAGGUCAGGACUAUCUUCAAAAUCUGAGAUUGGGUUUUGAAAGACAGCAGCCUUUGUUUUGGAGAGAUAAUGGGAACUGCAGAUGCUGGAGAAUGCGAGAUAACAACGUGUGGAGCUGGAUGAAGACAGCAGGCCAAGCAGCAUCUGAGCAGCUUUCCUGGAGCAAGUCUGUUUUCCUUCGGAUGAGACGACUUUCAGACAUACUCCCUUUAUUAUGAGAUUUAAUUGCGGUAAAAUGAGGAGGAUUUUUAUUCACUGAGACACACAUGACUAAAUGUUGAAAGCAUUGGAAAAAGCGUUCUGUUCGGACUGUCAUGUUAUCUGGUGUUUGUACCAGGCUUUCCGAUGAAAUGCAAGUGAUUAAGGAUGCUACUGAUGCCACAUGUUAUUACAAGAGGAAAUGAACAUACAAGUAAGGAUUUUAUGCCACAUUUAUACAUAGCAUGGGCCAUGCAGCAUGGAUGCAGUGACUGAGUGAAAUGGGAUGCAGUGACUGAGUGAAAUGGGAUGCAGUGACUGAGUGAAAUGGGACGCAGUGACUGAGUGAAAUGGGACGCAGUGACUGAGUGAAAUGGGACGCAGUGACUGAGUGAAAUGGGACGCAGUGACUGAGUGAAAUGGGACGCAGUGACUGAGUGAAAUGGGACGCAGUGACUGAGUGAAAUGGGACGCAGUGACUGAGUGAAAUGGGACGCAGUGACUGAGUGAAAUGGGACGCAGUGACUGAGUGAAAUGCUCACAGCGAAUUGCCCCCUCCAUCCUGACCCGCUCACAGCGACUUGCCCCUGCAGUCCUGUCCCAAUCACAAGGACUUGCCCUCUCCGUCCUUACCCGCUCACAGUGACUUGCCCCUGCAGUCCUGACCCCCUCACAGUGACCUGCCCCCUCACUCCUGACCCGCUCUACAUUGAGGAAACCAAGCAGAGGCUUGGGGACCGCUUUGCAGAACACCUCCACUCGGUUCGCAACAAACAACUGCACUUCCCAGUCGCGAACCAUUUUAACUCCCCCUCCCAUUCCUUAGACGACAUGUCCAUCAUGGGCCUCCUGCAGUGCCACAAUAAUGCCACCCGAAGGUUGCAAGAACAGCAACUCAUAAUCCGCUUGGGGACCCUGCAACCCAAUGGUAUCCAUGUGGACUUCACCAGCUUCAAAAUCUCCCCUUCCCCAACUGCAUCCCAAAACCAGCCCAGUUCUUCCCCUCCCCCUACUGCAUCACAAAACCAGCCCAGCUGUUCCCUUCCCCCGACUGCAUCCCAAAACCAGCCCAGCCUGUCUCCACCUCCCUAACAUGUUGUUCCUCUCACCCAUCCCUUCCUCCCACCUCAAGCCACACCUCAUCCUGCCUCCUUGACCUGUCUGUCUUCCCUGGACUGACCUAUGCCCUCCCUACCUCCUCACCUGUACUCUCCUCUCUACCUAUCUUGUUUUCUCUCCAUCUUCGGUCCGCACCACCCCCCUCCCUAUUUAUUCCAGUUCCCUCUCCCAUCCCCCUCUCUGAUGAAGGGUCUAGGCCCGAAAUGUCAGCUUUUGUGCUCCUGAGAUGCUGCUUGGCCUGCUGUGUUCAUCCAGCUCCACACUUUAUGUUGGAUUCUCCAGCAUCUGCAGUUCCCAUUAUCAGUGGCAUUUUCCUCUUCAUCGAAGUUUGUGCAAAAGCAACACGAUAUGGGGCGGCACGGUGGCUCAGCGGUUAGCACUGCAGCCUCACAGCACUGGGGACCCAGGUUCAAUUCCAGCCUCAGACAACUGUCUGUGUGGAAUUUGCACCUUGUCCCUGUGUCUGCGUGGGUUUCCACCAGGUGCUCCGGUCUCCUCCCACAGUCCAAAGAUGUGCACGCUAGGUGGAUUGGCAAUGCUAAAUUGCCCGUAGUGUUCAGGGGCGUGGGUCUGGGUGGGAUGCUCCAAGGUUUGGUGUGCACUUGUUGGGCCAAAGGGCCUGUAUCCACACUAGGGAAUCUAAACAAACCUGUUCCCACAUCUCCAUGUUAUAACCCUGCUGAUCACUGCACACAGAGAUGUUUGAUAACAAAAGGAUAACAAUAAUAUUCAAACCUAGUGCUGGAGAUGUAUUUUAAAUACACGGAGGCCAGUGUCGAUCUCCAAUUCAACUUUUAUUUACAAAUGAACUGUCUUCAACUUUAGCACUGCCUCAUUCAGAGAUAGUUGACAGGGUGUCAGCAUCUCUGAUGCUCACACCUCUUAUCUGUCAGCCAGGGCUCCCUGAUUUGGGCUGUUAAUAUGGAACAAUCAGGCAACUCAUAUUCUGUGAGGUUCAACUGGCCGACCUGGUCACAAACCAGUGCGGUGUGUUCAUCGAAAAUCAAACGUACUAGAAAGAUACCAUUCCAUACCAGUGUAAAGGAAGGCAUGAGGCUAAACUGGGGAGGGAAGGGAACUGCUUAUUGGGGGUGGCCCAGAGAGUAAAAGAAAAUCGAAUGGGAAGAAGACCAUUUGAGACUGAGGGAGAGAGAUGUAAUUGCCUGAAUGAGGCAUUCCAAUUGCGAAAUGGAUUUUAGUGUGUACACCAUGUUCAGUUUCCCCGAUCUUAAUCUGUACUCCUCUUUAAAUCAUUAGUAUCUGAAAUUUCUGUAUCAUUUCCAAAUGUUCUGUCUCUAAUGUUAUGCUGUUGGAGUUGGUUGAACUGCAGAGAUAUUAUUUAUUUGCACAAAUGUGUUCAGUUGCAU